rnacentral:rRNA from 1 species
AUACGGAGGAUCCGAGCGUUCUCCGGAUUUAUUGGGUUUAAAGGGAGCGUAGGUGGAUUGUUAAGUCAGUUGUGAAAGUUUGCGGCUCAACCGUAAAAUUGCAGUUGAAACUGGCAGUCUUGAGUACAGUAGAGGUGGGCGGAAUUCGUGGUGUAGCGGUGAAAUGCUUAGAUAUCACGAAGAACUCCGAUUGCGAAGGCAGCUCACUAGACUGUUACUGACACUGAUGCUCGAAAGUGUGGGUAUCAAACAGGAUUAGAUACCCUGGUAGUCCACACAGUAAACGAUGAAUACUCGCUGUUUGCGAUAUACAGUAAGCGGCCAAGCGAAAGCAUUAAGUAUUCCACCUGGGGAGUACGCCGGCAACGGUGAAACUCAAAUGAAUUGACGGGG